rnacentral:rRNA from 1 species
UACGUAGGGGGCAAGCGUUGUCCGGAUUUAUUGGGCGUAAAGAGCGUGUAGGCGGCCUGAAAGGUCAGCUGUGAAAACUCGAGGCUCAACCUCGAGACGUCGGUUGAAACCAUCUGGCUAGAGUCCGGAAGAGGAGUGUGGAAUUCCCGGUGUAGCGGUGAAAUGCGCAGAUAUCAGGUGGAACACCAGUGGCGAAGGCGGCUUUCUGGACGGUAACUGACGCUGAGACGCGAAAGCGUGGGGAGCAAACAGG